AGUGAACGCUGGCGGUAGGCCUAACACAUGCAAGUCGAACGGCGGCACAGUAAGAGCUUGUUCUUACGGGUGGCGAGUGGCGGACGGGUGAGGAAUACAUCGGAAUCUACUUUUUCGUGGGGGAUAACGUAGGGAAACUUACGCUAAUACCGCAUACGACCUACGGGUGAAAGCAGGGGAUCUUCGGACCUUGCGCGAUUGAAUGAGCCGAUGUCGGAUUAGCUAGUUGGCGGGGUAAAGGCCCACCAAGGCGACGAUCCGUAGCUGGUCUGAGAGGAUGAUAAGCCACACUGGAACUGAGACAAGGUCCAGACUCCUACGGGAGGCAGCAGUGGGGAAUAUUGGACAAUGGGCGCAAGCCUGAUCCAGCCAUACCGCGUGGGUGAAGAAGGCCUUCGGGUUGUAAAGCCCUUUUGUUGGGAAAGAAAAGCAGCAGGUUAAUACCCCGCUGUUCUGACGGUACCAAAAGAAUAAGCACCGGCUAACUUCGUG
rnacentral:rRNA from 1 species